ACCAACUUGCCAAAUUUCUGACUUCAACUGUAUGCACUUGUGGGUAAAAAAAAAGAAAAAAAGGAAAUCAGAAAUAUUUCCUGUGGAAAAAAUGGAAGUGUUUGAUGGGACGUGCGACAUUUUGAAAGAAUGUAUUGUUAAUUGGCAGCGAACGGGGAAGAGAUAUCCCACCUAUGUCAUGGCUCUGGAUGGAAGAAAUUUGAAUGCAUUCCGGGACCAGGAGGCAAAGAAACAGCUGUGCCCAACCAAAAUGUCUGCCCUUUGCACCUUUUUAAUUAGGCGAAUACAGAUGGAGAAGGAUGUUUUAAAAAUAAUUUGAUUGAAGCUUAACAAUGAGUCGAAAUUGCUUAAAUCCACGAUUUAGGUUUAAAACUCUUUUUUUUUAACUUAAAGGGAGUAACUUGGAAGCUAAGGCCUAACUUUUUUAUUUAUUAACUCAGUG